UACGAAGGGGGCUAGCGUUGCUCGGAAUCACUGGGCGUAAAGCGCACGUAGGCGGAUCUUUAAGUCAGGGGUGAAAUCCCAGAGCUCAACUCUGGAACUGCCUUUGAUACUGGGUAUCUUGAGUAUGGAAGAGGUAAGUGGAAUUGCGAGUGUAGAGGUGAAAUUCGUAGAUAUUCGCAGGAACACCAGUGGCGAAGGCGGCUUACUGGUCCAUUACUGACGCUGAGGUGCGAAAGCGUGGGGAGCAAACAGG
rnacentral:rRNA from 1 species